CUGGCGGCGUGCCUAAUACAUGCAAGUCGAACGGUCUUUUCUAUGGAAGCUUGCUUCCACUGAGAAGAUAGUGGCGAACGGGUGAGUAACACGUGGGUAACCUGCCCAUAAGAGGGGGAUAACAUCCGGAAACGGGUGCUAAUACCGCAUAGUUUUCUUGAUUGCAUGAUUGAGAAAGGAAAGACGGCCUUUGUGCUGUCGCUUAUGGAUGGACCCGCGGCGUAUUAGUUAGUUGGUGAGGUAACGGCUCACCAAGACGAUGAUACGUAGCCGACCUGAGAGGGUGAUCGGCCACAUUGGGACUGAGACACGGCCCAAACUCCUACGGGAGGCAGCAGUAGGGAAUCUUCCGCAAUGGACGAAAGUCUGACGGAGCAACGCCGCGUGAGUGAAGAAAGGUUUUCGGAUCGUAAAACUCUGUUGUCAGAGAAGAACAAGUUGGAGAGUAACUGCUCCAGCCUUGACGGUAUCUGACCAGAAAGCCACGGCUAACUACGUGCCAGCAGCGGC
rnacentral:rRNA from 1 species